AUCGAAGAGCAUGACUUUAAUACAAAGCUUCGAAAUGCACGCAAGUUUCUUACAAAAGGAGAUAAAGUAAAAGCUGCGAUCCGUUUCCGCGGACGUGCGAUUACUCACUCCGAACUCGGACGCGACGUGCUUAUGCGCCUUGCAAAAGAGUGUGAAGAUGUAGCGGUCAUCGAAUCAAAACCGAAAAUGGAAGGCCGCAGUAUGUUCCUGAUACUUGCGCCUAACGCAGAAAACGAAAAAUAAGACGACCGUGAUUCAGCCCGCGGCCUGAUUUUAUUUCACCAGACAACGACAACAAUAACCUUGUAUAGGAAGGAUGUUCAACAUGCCAA
rnacentral:misc_RNA from 1 species